UACGUAGGGUGCGAGCGUUGUCCGGAAUUAUUGGGCGUAAAGAGCUCGUAGGCGGUGUGUCACGUCGGCCGUGAAAACCUGCAGCUUAACUGUGGGCGUGCGGUCGAUACGGGCAUCACUGGAGUUCGGCAGGGGAGACUGGAAUUCCUGGUGUAGCGGUGAAAUGCGCAGAUAUCAGGAGGAACACCGGUGGCGAAGGCAGAUCUCUGGGCCAUUACUGACGCUGAGGAGCGAAAGCGUGGGGAGCGAACAGG
rnacentral:rRNA from 1 species